rnacentral:rRNA from 1 species
GGCGGCGUGCCUAAUACAUGCAAGUCGAGCGAUGAGGCCCCUUCGGGGGUACAUCAGCGGCAAACGGGUGAGUAACACGUGGGUGACCUACCCUGAAGACGGGGACAACCCUUGGAAACGGGGGCUAAUACCCGAUGUGCUCGGUCAUUCGGUUGGUCGAGUAAAGGCUGAGGCGCUUCAGGAUGGGCCUGCGGCCCAUCAGCUAGUUGGUAGGGUAACGGCCUACCAAGGCGGAGACGGGUAGGGGGCGUGAGAGCGCGGUCCCCCACACUGGCACUGCGACACGGGCCAGACUCCUACGGGAGGCAGCAGUAAGGAAUCUUGCGCAAUGGGCGAAAGCCAGACGCAGCGACGCCGCGUGGGCGAAGAAGGCCUUCGGGUUGUAAAGCCCUUUCCAGGGGAAGAGGAAGGACGGUACCCUGGGAAUAAGUCCCGGCUAACUAUGUGCCAGCAGCCGCGGUAAGACAUAGGGGACGAGCGUUAUCCGGAUUUACUGGGCGUAAAGAGCGUUGAGGCGGUUCCGUAAGUUGGAUGUGAAAGCCCCGGGCUUAACUCGGGGAGGUCGUUCAAUACUGCGGGGCUAGAGGGCAGCAGAGGGAGGUGGAAUUCCCGGUGUAGUGGUGAAAUGCGUAGAUAUCGGGAGGAACACCCGUGGCGAAGGCGGCCUCCUGGGCUGACCCUGACGCUGAAUGCGAAAGCUAGGGGAGCGAACGGGAUUAGAUACCCCGGUAGUCCUAGCUGUAAACGAUGGAUGCUGGGUGUGGGGGGUAUAACUUCCCUCUGUGCCGAAGCUAACGCGUUAAGCAUCCCGCCUGGGGACUACGCCCGCAAGGCUAAAACUCAAAUGAAUUGACGGGGGCCCGCACAAGCGGCGGAGCGUGUGGUUUAAUUCGAUGCUACACGAAGAACCUUACCUGGGCUUGACAUGCACGUGGUAGGGAACCGAAAGGGGACCGACCUUCGGGAGCGUGCACAGGUGCUGCAUGGCUGUCGUCAGCUCGUGCCGUGAGGUGUCGGGUUAAGUCUCGUAACGAGCGCAACCCUUGCCCUUAGUUAUACGUGUCUAAGGGGACUGCCCGGGAUAACCGGGAGGAAGGUGGGGAUGACGUCAAGUCAGCAUGGCCUUUAUGUCCAGGGCUACACACACGCUACAAUGGCCGGUACAAU